rnacentral:rRNA from 1 species
UACGUAGGUGGCAAGCGUUGUCCGGAUUUAUUGGGUUUAAAGGGUGCGUAGGCGGUGACCUAAGUCAGUUGUGAAAUACGGCAGCUUAACUGUCGAGGUGCAAUUGAUACUGGGUUACUUGAGUACUGAUGAGGUAUGCGGAAUGGACGGUGUAGCGGUGAAAUGCUUAGAUAUCGUCCAGAACACCGAUAGCGAAGGCAGCAUACUAAGGAGUAACUGACGCUGAGGCACGAAAGUGUGGGGAUCAAAACAGG